AUUGAACGCUGGCGGCAAGCUUAACACAUGCAAGUCGAGCGGGGGAAGGUAGCUUGCUACCGGACCUAGCGGGGGACGGGUGAGUAAUGCUUAGGAAUCUGCCUAUUAGUGGGGGACAACAGCUCGAAAGGGAUGCUAAUACCGCAUACGUCCUACGGGAGAAAGCAGGGGAUCUUCGGACCUUGGGCUAAUAGAUGAGCCUAAGUCGGAUUAGCUAGUUGGGGGGGUAAAGGCCUACCAAGGCGACGAUCUGUAGCGGGUCUGAGAGGAUGAUCCGCCACACUGGGACUGAGACACGGCCCAGACUCCUACGGGAGGCAGCAGUGGGGAAUAUUGGACAAUGGGGGGAACCCUGAUCCAGCCAUGCCGCGUGUGUGGAGAAGGCCUUAUGGUUGUAAGGCACUUUAAGCGAGGAGGAGGCUACUCUAGUUAAUACCUAGGGAUAGUGGACGUUACUCGCAGAAUAAGCACCGGCUAACUCUGUGCCAGCAGCCGCCGUAA
rnacentral:rRNA from 1 species